GACGAACCGUACGAACGUUAUUCGGAAUCACUGGGCUUAAAGGGUGCGUAGGCUGCGCGGAAAGUUGGGUGUGAAAUCCCUCGGCUCAACCGAGGAACUGCGCCCAAAACUGCCGUGCUCGAGGGAGACAGAGGUGAGCGGAACUUAGGGUGGAGCGGUGAAAUGCGUUGAGAUCGGAAGGAACGCCCGUGGCGAAAGCGAGGUCCUGGACGUUAUCUGACGCUGAGGCACGAAAGCUAGGGUAGCGAACGGG
rnacentral:rRNA from 1 species